AAGGUGAAGAAUUCAGUUCUUAAAUACACAGUGCUUGUUAACCUAUCUAGAAAAGGAAACGGUCAACUGGAGACUUUGGUUUGUUGCAGAAGCUGUUGGUUUUGAUCUGUUCCUCCUUGGCACCAGGGGAGGUUAGGAAGAGCGAAUCUAAACAAGAUUGGCAAAGCUGGAGUGCAGUGGCACAAUCUCAGCUCACCACAACCUCUGUCUCUCGGGUUCAAGAGAUUCUCCUGCCUCUGCCUCCCACAUAGCUGGGACUACAGAAAGCUUCACAUGUGAGAUAAAUGCACUCAAAGAUUCCUCACAAGUAGCUCUUUGGAGCUUCAGAUGUGAAAUGGAUCAUUCCUCAAUCUGUAAUAGACCCUUCUGUGAAGCUCUUCAAUCAAACUAGAGAAUUCAAGGUGAAAUUGAGGGGAGGAUUGGAAACCCCUACAGGGGGAUUUGAGUGAACUAGCUGAGAAAGGAACCUGAGGUAUUUGCCCUGUGCUGCCUCUUUUUUCAGUUCUUUUCUUCAGCCUAGGAAGGCUGUCAAUCAACAUAUGACCUUACAUGCUGUAUGUGCAUAAUACCUGGGUACAACAAGACAAGCUGUAAGGGGAGUAUCAAAUGCACCUUUGAUUUCUUUCCAUUUGUCACUUUUCUGACAACUCUUAGGCUAUUUUUAAAGUAGCUAUUUUAUACAGAUUUGUUAUUAGAUUUUUCUCUCU
rnacentral:lncRNA from 1 species